CAGGAGCACACUGCCUCUCAUGUGGAUAGGAGGAGGGUCUCAGAAGCCCACCCCGACAGUGACACACUUCCUCUGACAUUGGCCGCUCCCUGGGCCAAGCAGGUUCAAACCACCACACCUAGGGACUUCGCUCAGUCUGGAACCUGGGCUGUAGGUCUGACCAGAGCUCCACUUGAAGGCCCGCCUCCUUAGGUCCAGUUACCAGGAGACUGGGAAUAAAAGCAUUUCCUGCCUAGAUGUCUUGGCAGCUCCCACUGUCAUGGAGACCACUGGAAGCUUAAAGAGCUGCUGCUGGCACCCAGAAAGCAGCAGAAGAAAGAAGAGGCCAGCGGUCUUGGACUCGCUGGGCCAGUAGGUGAGCAGGAGCCAGACCAGAGAGCCAGGAGCUGAGCCCUCCUAGUGCAGCAAAGCUCACACACACAGUUCCUUGGAGGGAGCAUUGUAGAAAGGAGGAGGAAGAGGUUCAAGGCUCCAUGAUCUGUCUCCUUCCUUCUGCAGCAAUGUUUAUCACUGUGAUGUUUGGAGCUGGUUGCCGGGAGCUGGUGAAUCCCUGGUGUAGCCUGGCAAACUUCACUAUGCAUCUGAAACGGAAGGCUCAGCUUCCCCCAGAAGUAGCCAUUGCCCUCCUGGCUGAGGACGGACACCUGGUGAAGUUAGAGGAGGUCACCGAGGCCCCUUCCAUGGCCUGUUCCCUGCUACAGGAGCAAGGGACCUAUGUCCUGGUACAGGUCAUUAAGGGGAAAGAUGGGUCCCCCGCUCACUAUGAGUCGCUGCUGGACAACCUGGAUGACCAGUAUCCGGAGUUAGCAGAGGAGUUGCGCUGGCUCUCUGGCUUUCCAACCCCAAGCAAUGGUCAGAGAAGACGCCCGGGUAUUCGGCGUGGCCACCGGGAACAAGGUCCUUCUUCAAGGUCUCGAAGGGUCACCUCCCUAUCAGCUAGAAACCGCUAACUGGAGCCAGAGCCGGGUACAGAAAAGCAGGUCCUAUGACCCAGCACACCACAGCCAAGCCGGACUUGGAUCCAAGGAGACAGGCCCUGACCUCUGCUUUAUGAUCUACGGCAAACAGACAACAACCUGGGAGGACUCCUCUUUCAGAACCUGGCAUGACGAAGAAGUUGCAUCAGCAAGAAGGGAAAAGGUCACAGACAGGAUGUGAGAGCCCCCGCCCUCCCUCAUCACCCCAUUUGAGUGCAGAGAAAAGCAUACAGGGACAAAACAAGAAGAGUGAAGCCACAGAUGUUCCUGUGGGCAGAGACAUUAGGCUCCUCUUGAGGGUUCAGGUCCCAGGGGUCACUUGCAAAUGCCUCACCCCUCUCCCCACUUAGGAGUCCCCAGAAUAAUCAAUCCGUCCUUUGUUAUCCGAGAGGCAGAUAAUAGGGUUCCUCCCACCCCAGAGGUUCAAGGACAGAAAGCACAGGGUUACAUAACAAGAUCCCCGCCCCCCCCCACACACACACCUCCUUUCUCCCACCUCCACACUAACUAGGCAUAGCACAUUAAUGAGACAGCCAUCCGCCUAUCUCCCCUGAUCCCGCCUCCCAGCAGACAGGGCAGUGAGUGGGCACACAGCAGGCUGUGGUCUAAAGUAAACUCUUUUUAAUUGAAC
rnacentral:lncRNA from 1 species